AUUGAACGCUGGCGGAAUGCUUUACACAUGCAAGUCGAACGGCAGCACGGGGCAACCUGGUGGCGAGUGGCGAACGGGUGAGUAAUACAUCGGAACGUGCCCAAUCGUGGGGGAUAACGUAGCGAAAGUUACGCUAAUACCGCAUACGAUCUACGGAUGAAAGCGGGGGAUCGCAAGACCUCGCGCGAAUGGAGCGGCCGAUGUCAGAUUAGGUAGUUGGUGGGGUAAAGGCUCACCAAGCCAACGAUCUGUAGCUGGUCUGAGAGGACGACCAGCCACACUGGAACUGAGACACGGUCCAGACUCCUACGGGAGGCAGCAGUGGGGAAUUUUGGACAAUGGGCGCAAGCCUGAUCCAGCCAUUCCGCGUGCAGGAU
rnacentral:rRNA from 1 species